GGCCAGACUCCUACGGGAGGCAGCAGUGGGGAAUAUUGCACAAUGGGGGAAACCCUGAUGCAGCGACGCCGCGUGAGCGAUGAAGUAUUUCGGUAUGUAAAGCUCUAUCAGCAGGGAAGAAAAUGACGGUACCUGACUAAGAAGCCCCGGCUAACUACGUGCCAGCAGCCGCGGUAAUACGUAGGGGGCAAGCGUUAUCCGGAUUUACUGGGUGUAAAGGGGGCGCAGACGGCAGCGCAAGCCAGGAGUGAAAGCCCGGGGCCCAACCCCGGGACUGCUCUUGGAACUGCGCGGCUGGAGUGCAGGAGGGGCAGGCGGAAUUCCUGGUGUAGCGGUGAAAUGCGUAGAUAUCAGGAGGAACACCGGUGGCGAAGGCGGCCUGCUGGACUGCGACUGACGUUGAGGCCCGAAAGCGUGGGGAGCAAACAGGAUUAGAUACCCUCGUA
rnacentral:rRNA from 1 species